rnacentral:rRNA from 1 species
UGCGUAGGUGGUAGGGUAAGUCGGAUGUGAAAUCUCGGAGCUCAACUCCGAAACUGCAUUGGAAACUACCCAACUUGAGGGUCGGAGGGGGGACUGGAAUUCUCGGUGUAGCAGUGAAAUGCGUAGAUAUCGAGAGGAACACCAGUGGCGAAGGCGAGUCCCUGGACGACUCCUGACACUGAGGCACGAAAGCUAGGGGAAGCAAACA